UUGUUAUUGACAAUCGAUAUGUGGUUUUUAUUUACAAAGAAAAAAAGGGUUAGUUUUCUGAAAAUUAACUUUCUGACAGGGUUUUCCCUUAUUUCAGUUCCAAUCUCUGAAAAGACAAUGAAAACACUGCUUAUUCGAUCAUGGAUUAUCGGAAGAAAACAUCCUAAGUAAAUUAGGUUGCUUUCUGUGUAGGUUCCCUAUUUUACAAAUGGUUAGAACUUUUAAGCGAAAAAGAGAGCAAUAUUGGUCGAUCACUAGUUUGAAGUGUUAUGAAAGCUAUAGAAGAAGGUUUGUCUGUUCUGGGUGCUUCAAAACAGUUCGGUGAGCCAGAACCUACUUUGAGACUCUAUCGACGAAAAUAUCCAGACAUGGAGGAUACGUCGUCCAAUAAAGGCCGCUUUAAAGCCACACUCAGGUCCAGCUUCGAAGAAUUGCCUAUUCGUUUGCGGUUAAAAAUGGCAUAGAGCCCCCUUUCAAAGGAACAUGCGCUGGACGGACAUGGGUUGAAAUGUUUAUGAAGAUUCAUAAGCUAUCUUUGAGAAAGCCAGAAAACAACUCAGUGGCUUGAUUAAUGGCGUUCAAUAAAGAAAAUUGUGACUAAUUUUUUCUAACUUUGGGAGAUAUACGAGCUCAGUAUCGUUUUCCUGCG